AGUAAAAUUAAAAAAUGAUCAGAAGAGGGUGCUCCUCAAACAAAUGCUGAAGGAAACUACUUGUAUGUGUGAUGGCAAGUUGGGUCACCACCAUUUUUAAUAAAAAUGAGUAAUGACUUAAAUGAGAGCAAAAUAGGGAAGUGAGUAAUCAGGUGGAAUUUAUGUUAUUCUAAAGCUGGAAUAAAAGUCUAUGGGAUGGAAAAAAAAAGCCUUUGGGGGCCUGGCCAAGUUCAAAAGGAACCAGGAGGCUGAGCAGAGAGGCUGCUCUCAGGAACUGGCGUCCAGUGGCACAGACAGAGCCUGUUAAAAAUUAACAAAAUGGCUCGAGAUUACUAUUUUAAGCAUUGUGAAUUGGCAAAUGGCAAAUACCUAGCUGAACAGAUGACUGGCUUUGAUUCUAAAUAGCUGAUUGUACAGGAAAUGGACCACGACAGGCUUUCAGACAUGGAAGUGGCUGCAGCACAGAGACCAGGGUAUGGGGCCCACCUGACUGUGAGGAUCAGCCAUCCCCAGGGAGCAGACAGGAAAAGCCAAGUAAUUUCCCAUCAGUUGCUGAGCAUUCUCUAGCAAAUUAAAAGAUACUUCUAAAAACAAGAUGCUGGGUGGAAAAUGAUGGGACUCCACUGUAAUGAAAUAACCAUCCUUCACGGCUAUUUCACCAUCCCUGAGCCUCUGUUAGCAUGACGUGAGUGGCCAGGGACUGCCCGGAAGAGAACUCUCCUGCUUGUAGAAGUGAAUAAUAAUGAUUUAACUGCAAGAAUGCUGGCGCCAUGGGUCCAGUUCUUUCCUGCAGACCCCGAGUGCACUCCCAGCAAAUGGUGGUGCUCUCAGCUGUGUUCCUGCCAGGCUGGAAGGCCAGGAUUCCCAGGGAUCGCUAGCCAGCUGAAGGCCCCAGGUCUGAGAAGCCCAGCUCCCUUAUCCAAGGGGGUCUGGGCAGCUUUGCCCCGAUAAACACAUCACUGGCACA